CAACUUAGCCUCUCGCUGUGAGAACACCGACGCCCUCCUUUCCCUGCUUUUUUGAUUUCUGUCCACACUCGCCCGGGGGUCAGACCCCACUGCUUCACCAGUUUGAAGGCUGCGCUCCAAGUUUCCGUCCCUCCACCCCGCCUCGCACCUCGAAGGAAGUUGUGCGGGUGCGUCGGAACUGAUAUUUCCUUCUUGUGGAAUUCUAGAGACAACCCCGUUCCCAGCUGCAGUCCACUCAGCGUGACCGCCAGGGCAUGGGGGUGUGAAACGGACCUACCGUUCGGGCGACCCCGGGGCAUCACGUCCGUACAGGCUAGACGUGAGCAUAACGGCCUCAUAGGAGUUCUUUCUUUUACGAUCCGUACGCACGACCGGCUGAGACCGGCUGGAGAGUCCUCGGCGCCCCUACUCCGCUUAGGGGUCAGCGCGAGUGCCAGAAGGGCCUAGCACACCGUGGGCGACUUCGGAAGGCCAGGGCGGCCGGCCUUCUAGACUAGAAGAUCCAUACUUGGAAGCGUGGUUUCUUGUGGCGUUCCGGUAGUGCGCCGUGAUCGUAUAGUGGUUCUUCUAUUUCCUCAAAAAGAAACCCAUGGGUAGAUCCAGCAGGACGAGUCCUGUCAUGAGGCCUGAAUCUCAUUCCUGAGGAAGAAUGCAGGAGCUGCCUCUCAGAAGCAAAGGUUUAAAUCAGUGGUUUCCAAACAUUAUUCUAGAACUCAUAAACAGGGAUGAAGUUUUCAUCAUGGAAUAAGAGAAAAUAAGGUCAAUGUGGUGUCCUGGAGGGCAGUGCUUUGGGCCUGGGUCUUCAACUUGCCUUUGGGAUUUUGGUCAUCAGAACUGAUCCUCAAUUUAAUGACUUCAAUGGCUGGGAGACCAGGUUCAGGUCUCCUGGUUUUUGCAAAUCACCAUGAGUACCACUUGUCACAGAUACCCUGGCUGUGGCAGGAAACAUCUUUGAGGGGUUGGUAAGCACUCGAAGGCAUUUUGAUCUUCUUUUCUUUGGGGAACACAAAGUGGAGCAGAAAACAGAUUGAGAGAAAGUAUGCUUUCUGGACCGCACUGCCAUAGCAGGAAGCCUGACAACACCAUCACCUGCAAAAACAGUCUCACAAGCGGGAGGAGCGAGCAGGAAAAUCUGGUACUGAACUCGAUCUCAGCAAAUGCUACGCCGACUCCUAGGGCUAAGAGGCACCCUCAGAAGGCUAAAGUGAUUUGGUCAGAAGAAGACUGGGCGGCCCAGUCCUUCCUGGGAGGCGCGCAACGGAGACCAAACACUCUCGGGCUCCUUCCUGGGGGCGGGGCAAACAUGCCACUCGGCGUCCUGGGAGGCGCCAGAGCGCCUGCGGCAGGUUUCCGCCUGGAAGUCGCACCCUCUCCCCGUGCCCCACACCCGCAGCUCAGUACAGGAUUCUCAAGCAGAAAAGGGUGGAGGCUAAGGGAGAGCGGGCAAGAGAAAAGAGGACCGGAGAAGUGGGGGUUGUGGAAGGGGGGCUCUGGUGGGAUGUGGGGUAUCAGUGUGGAAAGGAGACCUUGGGCUUGAGGAAAGGAGGAGAGUGGCAGACUGGGUCACUGAAUGGGUGGAGUCGGAUUUCUAACCACUGGAAAGCGUCUCGUGCAUAUUGUUCCACAGCCUGACGUCUUUGCUUAUGUGUGGGGCCGUCUUUCUAGGCCAGUACAUACAGAUCUCCCUCGUUUAUUUUAUUGGCUAUAUGAUAUUACGUAUAAGGAGGUACGCUAAGGUAUGUGUUUCCUUAUUAAUGGACAUUUAGAUCGGCUUAUAUUUGGCCAGUUAUUUCUAGAGACUUGAGGUAGGCAAAGUUUGUGUUUGACUCCCACUUCUGACUCACCUUUAGAUUCCUGAUCUACUCUUGGUGAAAGCCCUUGGCUAAGCUAGUGGUUGUCAAGCAUUUAAAGGGCUAUCACCUCUGUGGGAAUAAUUGCCUUUUAAGACAGGAAUACAAAGAUUAGGAGCCAGAAGAUCUGGAGUCCUGACCAGAGUCCCUAUGCAGCCAUGUGAGUGGUCUUAGUCUAGUUCUGUUUCUGCAUAUUGAAUGUGAUGAUGAUCAUAUGUACCUUACAAGCUGCUAGAAAUUUGAAUUAAUGCAUGUGAAAAAACCAUAUUGUGUAAAUGGUAAGGUGCUCCAAAGAUAUUCUUUUUUUUUUUUUAAUUUUUUAAAUGUUUAUUUAUUUUUGAAAGACACAGUGACAGUGAGAGCAGGGGAAGGGCAGAGAGAGAGGGAGACACAGAAUCCAAAGUAGGCCCCAGGAUCUGGGCUAUCAGCACAGAGCCCAACAUGGGGCUUGAACCCACAAACUGUGAGAUCAUGACCUGAGCCGAAGCCGGAUGCUUAACCCACUGAGCCACCCAGGUGCCCCAGAUAUUCUUUUCACAAGUAAAGUGUAAGGACCUUAUAUAGAGAGGCUUUGCUUCUUUAUACAUGAACAUUUGCUUGGCACUUAUCACUCCUGGCAUUGCUUAACAAGAUUUACAUUUUUUUUCUUUUCCCUCCAUUUAAUCCAUACAACAACCCUUUGAAGAAGGUACUAGUAUUAUCCCAGUUUUCCUUUUUCUUUUUUUAAUGUUUGUAUAUUUUUGAGAGAGAGAGAAAGCAUAAGUAGGGGAGGUACAGAGAGAGAGUGGGACAGAGGAUCUGAAGCAGGCUCUGCACUGACAGCAGAGAGCCCGACAUGGGGCUUGAACUCGCAAACCACGAGAUCUUAACCUGAGCCAAAGUCAGCCAUUCAACUGACUGAGCCACCCAGGUGCCCUUUUCCGAGUUUCCUCCUUUUCAAAGGAGGAAAGAGAGGCUUAAAUUAAGUUGCUUAAUUAAUUAAAUUAACUUGCUCCCUACAGUCACAUAGUAAGUGACAGAGCUGGGAUUUGAGCCCAGGUGUGACUGAUUCUAAAGCCCUUACUCUUGGGGCGCCUGGGUGGCUCAGUCGGUUGAGUGUCCGACUUCGGCUCAGGUCAUGAUCUCAUGGCUUGUGGGUUUGAGCCCCCGCAUCGUGCUCUGUGCUGACAGCUCAGAGCCUGCAGCCUGCUUCAGAUUCUGUCUCCAGCUCUCUCUGCCCCUCCCCCACUUGUGCUCUGUCUCUAAAAUAAAUAAACAUUAAAAAAAAAAUUAAAGGCCUUACUCUUAAUCACUAUGUCCACUUUUACAACAUCUCAGCCCUUCCUGCCUUCCUUCCUUCUCCAUUGCAGGCCCACAGGUUUAACCCAAAUGAUCUCAUCAGUUUCUAAAGUAUUUAUACUUUCUGAACUACUUGUGUGCCAAUCAUGUCCUGCUGUGUGGCAUCUUUUGUAUUUUUGUCUCAUUUUGCUAUUUGUCUUACUGUUGGCUUCUGUUGCAGCAAGUAAAAAAAUGAUUGCUAUUCAAGCUAGCAAUUCCCUCAAAGACAGAAUUGUCUUCAUUCAACAAGUUGCUUUUAUCAACUCUCUGAGUGUGGAGCUUCAUAGGAGCAGAGAGCAAAUCUGUUUUGUUACCAAAGCCGUAGGAGCUAGCACUGUGCCUCACACACACACACACACACACACACACAAGUUGUUUAAUAUUUGUUGAAGAACAAAGAAGAUGAAACUCCAAGGGUUUGGGCUUGAAUACCUGGGGCACAACAAAAGGAGAGGAAAUGUCUGGCAAAUCAAAGAACACAGAUAAAGCACUUAUACUUCCUGGUACAAAAUAACAUUUUUUAUUUUUUAAAUGUUUACUUAUUUAUUUUGAGAGAGGGAGAGAGAGAUUGAGAACGUGAGUGGGGGAGGGGCAGAGAGAGAGGGAGGGAGAGAGAAUCCCAAGCAAGCUCUGUGCUAUCAGCUCAGAGCCCAAUACAGGGCUUGAACUUGCCAACCAUGAGAUCAUGAUCUGAGCCAAAAUCAAGAGUUAGAAGCUUAACUGACUGAGCCACCCAGGCACUCCCAAAAUAGGAUUUUAAAUCCAUGUUAGUUAUUAUUGCUACAUAAGUAUAAUAUGAAUAGGUUUGUGGAAAGGUAGAAAAUGGGGAGGCAAAAAAAAAAAAAAAAAAAGGAAGAAAUGGAGCAAAAUGAUACUGGGCUAGGGCUAUUUGUGAAGAGAUGGCCAGUGAGGACUUCUCAUAGGCAGAAUAGGGCAAAGGGCAUUUAAGAACAAGGAUACCGGGGCACCUGCAUGGCUCACUUAGUUAAGUGUCUGACUCUUGGUUUCAACUCAGUUCAUGAUCUCAUGGUUCAUGGGAUUGAGCCCUGCGUUGGGUUCUGCAGUGACAGUAUGAAGCUUUCUUGGGAAUCUCUCUCUCGCUCUCUCUGCUCCUCCCCUGCUCAUGCUGUCUUUCUCUCUCUCUUAAAAUACACAUUAAAAAAAAGAAAACAAAGGUACCUAAUAUCUACCCUGCCUUAACUCCAACAGCUUUGCCCUCAAAUCUUCAGUAAAAGUCCACUGUCUAUAUAUUCCACUGCCAGUGGUAUUUUGGAGAAUUCAAGAAUUCAGAUGGUGUGCAGUGUUGAUGGUGUGGUAUAGGCAGUCCAGUCAACAGAGAUUCUCAUUUAGGACGCUGGUGCAAAACCAUUUCCAUUAAGUCUUAUAGGAUGGGAGAUUCUCCAGUGGAUGACUUUUGGGACAUCAAGACAGCUAAACCUAAAGUUACACUUCUGUGGUUACUCUAUUUAUUCUGUGUACAUUGUAUGUAUGUCAUGUCCUCCCAGCUGGAUUGUAAAUUUUUGCAACUAGAAAUGAUGAGAAAUGAGUAGAAUUUGUAUGGCACUUUUCUAUGUUUGAAUUUCUUUUCUUUACACUAACUCACUGAAAUUAACAAAACCUUUUGUGGUAGGUGUGAUGGUGUCAUGGUCCAGCCCCCCUCCAUUUUAAAGACAAGGACAAUCAGGCAGACAGAGGUUAAAUGCUUGCUUUUGGUUACAAAGCUAACAAGGACCGAAGCCAGCCUUGUAUAGUGAAAAAGGACAUGGCUUAUUAAGGCUUUUCACUCUCUGGAUGAUAUCCAGCUUUCCAAUCUCCUUCUUACCACUGUCUCAUGCCACCUGUCCAAGUACACGAUCACCACACAGAACUAUUGACUUUCCCUAAGAAAUCUAUACCUAAGUGACUUUGGAAAAGGCACCUAACCUCUCAGAGCCUCUGUUCUCAGUUAUGCAAAUGAAGAUAAUAAUGGCUUUGUUAAAGUGUUGUUGUGGAGAUUAAAUGUCUUAACCUUAAAGCACUUGGAACAUAAAGAUGUUUAAAGAA